rnacentral:rRNA from 1 species
AGCAGCCGCGGUAAUUCCAGCUCCAAUAGCGUAUAUUAAAGUUGUUGCAGUUAAAAAGCUCGUAGUUGAAUUUCGGGGUUAGUAGAUUGGUCGUGCCUUCGGUAUGUACUGGUCUUACUGAUUCCUCCUUCCUGAUGAACCGUAAUGCCAUUAAUUUGGUGUUGCGGGGAAACUGGACUGUUACUUUGAAAAAAUUGAGUAGUUUAAAGCAGGCUAACGCUUGAAUACAUUAGCAUGGAAUAAUGAAAUAGGGCGUUCGAUCUUAUUUUGUUGGUUUCUAGGAUUGACGUAAUGAUUAAUAGGGAUAGUUGGGGGCAUUAGUAUUCAAUUGCCAGAGGUGAAAUUCUUGGAUUUAUUGAAGACUUAACUACUGCGAAAGCAUUUGCCAAGGAUGUUUUCAUUAAUCAAGAACGAAAGUUAAGGGGUCGAAGACGAGUCAGAUACCGUCGUAGUCUUAACCAUAAACUAUGCCGAUAGGGAUCGGAUGAUGUUAAGUUUUUAAUGACUCAUUCGGCGCCGU